rnacentral:miRNA from 1 species
CGGAGAGGGGAGAGAGACCGCGCC